UGGAGAUUGUUCUCACCUGUUCUAAGUCAAUACCACACCUGCACCUCUUGUUUGUCAGGAUCUCAGCAUUCAUGUCAAGCUUUUCAAUUUCUUCUGCCUUCAAGUCCUUCAUCUGAACUCCACACACCGAAAGUCAUGAAAGCAUCCAUCGAGCUCACAAUCGACAGAAGAAACAAGAAGAGCCGCCCCGUUUGCUCAGGCUGAUGAAAGCAGACCCGGAGGGUCUUUUAGUUAGUGCCUGACAGAAGCAGCAGCCGCAGAGAGGUGCCUGGUGCUACCGGAGGUGUGACAGAGUCCCAGCCCACCGUACAUUGAUUCACACAGGAUUAAGCUACUGCAGAAUGCUGCAGGCGGAAGGCUCGGCGCAGGUGAUUUACCGUCACUGUCAGACUUAACAUCACCGGACACCUCUGCCCUGCUCCCGUCUGCUGUGGAGGGACUACGCAAAACCAUCUGCCACUGCACCACCCAAAGGCAUGACUCACCCUCAUCUCACACAGGAGUAAGAGAGGAAGCGAUGGGCUGGACUAUGAUUCUAAAAAAUGACUUUGGGGUCAUCGCCUGGACUCGGCACACUGCAAAGUUGGUCAGCCUCUUCCUCCUCUUGUCUCUUUUUACUAUUCCAAUCCCUUCAACAGACACAGUUCUACCCAGGGACCAGCAUUUCUCAUGGAAAGCAGGGCGCUGACUGAGAUUAUCAUAAAAGCCAGCAACUCGUCUCUGGAGAGGUCCCAGGCAGAAGAUUCAUGGCACUCAGAUCCUAAAUCCCAUGAAAACAUUCCUGCAGAAGUUUGAGCUUCCACAGAAAUGGGCUGCUCUGAAGUGUCUUUCAAACAGAACAGGCCUUUCACAUAUGUUAUUUUAGUCCAGAAAUGUUCAGCUCGGGACAAAUCUCCCUCAGUUUGAAUUGAUCAUAAGAGGAUUAAAUAUAGAUUUGAAAAAGAAACACAUGACGCUCAUUGAGCUUCUCAAACAUCAAGUCUGG
rnacentral:lncRNA from 1 species